GCAAAAUACGGUAAAGAAAUUGCUCAGCAUAGUUUCUCUGAAGAUGUUUGGGUAUACUUAGCAUGCUUUGCAAACCUUGGAAUUGAAUUUAAUUUUUACUUAGAGAAUUAAGCAUCUAAUUAUUGCCACAAAAAAUAGUAGAUUAAGGCCGUGCACAGUGGCUCACGCCUGUAAUCCUAGCACUUUGGGAGGCUGAGGGGGGUGGAUCACCUGGGUUCAAGGGUUCGAGACCAGCGUGGCCACUGUGGUGAAACCCCGUCUCUACUAAAAAAAAAAAAAAAAAAAUUAGCCGGGCAUGGCAGGGGGCGCCUGUAAUCUCAGCUACUUGGGAGGCUGAGGCAGGAGAAUCGCUUGAACCCAGGAGGCGGAGAUUGCAGUGAGGAGAGAUCGUCCCACUGCACUCCAGCCUGGGCAACAGAGCGAGACUCUGUCUCAAACAAACAAACAAAAUAGUAGAUUAAGUUUGGGCAACAUAGCAAGACCCUGUCCCUAUAAAAAAUUAAAAUAAUUAGCUAGGCGUGGUGGCACAAGCCUGUAGUUCCAGCAACUCUGGAGGCUGAGGCAGGAGGAUUGAUUGAACCUAAGAGUUCUAGGCUGCAGAGAGCUAUGAUUGCGCCACUGCACUCUGUUACAGAUGUAUACAUGUACUGAGUCAUGAUGGAAAAUGGAUUGAUUUAGAAAUGUUUGGGGAUGAUGGCUUGCUCAUUUGCCCUUCUAUGGUUCACUAUAGCCUAGGCUAUUUGGAGAAAAGCAAAACAUUUGAAAGCUGAAACAUUCAAAACAUUCAAAGAUUCAAAGCUGAAAUCUGCGAUCCAUGCCAUGAAACUCAAGGACAAAAAAAAAUGCGGCAGUUAUUUUAGUGGCACGAAGUCCUGGGGCUGCUGGAUCCCAGCCUAGGAGGAGAGGGACAUGAAGAAAAGUAAGGGCCAGCACAUUUUGACUGUUCUGGGGAAAAGGAACUGCAGCAAGAAGUAACUGCUCUGCUCAAAACAUUCCUAUUCUCUCUCUCUCGUCUCACUCUGUCGCUCAGGCUGGAGUGCAGUGGUGCGAUCUCGGCUCACUGCAACCUGUGCCUCCUGGGUUCAUGUGAUUCUCCUGCCUCAGUCUCCCUAGUAGCUGGGAUUACAGGUACCUACCACCACUCCCAGCUAAUUUUUUGUAUUUUUAGUAGAGAAGGGAUUUCACCGUUUUGGCCAGGCUGGCCUCGAACUCCUGACCUUGGGUGAUCCGCCUGCCUCAGCCUUCGAAAAUGCUGGGAUUAUAGGCAUGAGCCACCAUGCCCGGCCAGCCUCUCUUUAUUGGGAGCUUUCCAUCCACUCUCCAUCUCUUCUGCCUUUUCUUUUUAAAUCUCCUCAUCACUUCUUGCGAACUCUCCAUGGCUCCUAGUGCCUGAGGUGUAGGUAUAAGACAGCUUGAAACCAGUAAUCUGCAAUUCUUUCCUGGGCUUUCCGUUCUCACAACAGAGUCUGUGUCACCUGCUAAGGUACUGAAACUGACUCAGUUCUUUCACAGAGCAGAUGUUUAUGGUUUCUUUUGAAUAAACAUAGAAAUUGAUCCUUCUAGCCUGGUGUGGUGGAGUGUGCCUGUAUUCCCAGCUACUUGGGAGGCUGAGGUGGGAGGAUCCCUUGAGCCCAGGAGUUCUGGGCUGUAGUGUGCUAUGCCAGUCAGGUGUCUGCACUAAAUUUAGCAUCCACUUCCUGGGAGUGGGGGACCACCAGGUUGCUUAAGGAGGGGUUAACCAGCUCAGGUCAGAGACUGAGCAGGUCAAAACUCCCAUGCUGAUGAGUAGUGGCAUCACGCCUGUGAACAGCCACUGCACUUCAGCCUGGGCAACAUAGUGAGACCCUGUCUCAAAACAAAACAAAAGCAAAAGCAAAAGCGAAAAGAGAAACAAAUUGACCUUUCCAGUCUUGAAAUUUGAGAAAGUGACAUUUGCCUUAUCUGAGUUCCUUUCUCAGGAAAUCAACCAUCAGGCCUCCCAGAUGGUAUCAAGGAACUGAAACUUACCAGAUCACUGCAUUUGGACAAGGAGAUGCGGGACCCCUCAUCUGUCAUAAUGGCCUAACAGACCACCUGCUGCCUGUUGAUCAACUCCUCUUCCUUACCCCUCCCUAAUUCCUGUCUUACUGCAUGUAGUUACAUUUCUUCCUUCCUGUAUAAACCUCUAAUUUUAGUUGGUCAGGGAGACGAAUUUGAAACUGAUCUCCCAUCUCCUUGGCUGGAGCACCCAAUUAAAGCCUUCUUCCCUGGCACUACUGAUUGGCUUUCUGUGCAGCAAGCGGCAGGACCUACACCAAAUCCCCGGCAUUUUGGCAACAGCACUGGUCAUGCUAGGGAAAAAGUUCAAGAUUUCAACUUCCAAGACCCAGGGAAGCCUCUCACAAUUUCUAAAGGGCAGGGCAGAAGAGAUCUUUGAAAGUGAAUCUGAAUGAGUAUAAAAAUGCAGUUUCACUUUAAAUUUUCCAAAAAGCUUAUUAAAUUAGUAUUUUCAUGUGCUUUUGAAAACUUUAUUUAUUUAUUUAUUUAUUUAUUUAUUUAGAGACAGAGUCUCACUCUGUCACCCAGGUUGGAGUGCAGUGGCGUGCUCUCGACUCACUGCAACCUCUGCCUUUCAG
rnacentral:lncRNA from 1 species